GUUUAAAAGUAAGUUCACCCGGUGUCAGGGAAUGAAAUGUUAAUGUUGACUUGAAUAUAAUUUUUAAAAAAGUAAUAUAUUUGUGUAGCACUAAACUCAAAUUAAAAUUUGGAUAUGCCAGUUGACUCCUGUUUGACACUGGAUGGAAUGGCGGUGACAUCAGAUUCAGUGAUGAUUGAGAAUCUAAAGAAUAUGAGGAUAAGAUUUAAAAUCCAAAUAUCAUUGAACUCUUCAAGAAAUGUAUUACUGGAAAAGGGGGAAAGCAUGUAUGUCUAUUAGAAUUGAAUACACUCUGAAGGCGGUGGCACAGAUGAAACAGACCUGUGUGCUAAAACUUAUCACAAAUUUCACAUUGAAUGGAGCAGUUUAAACAGGCUGGAGGAAGCAGACAUGCCAGCGCAAACUUUUGAAUUUGUGCAUUCUGUUCAUAAACAUCAGCAAAAUUGUGGGAACCUGUUUAUUCUUUCUCUUUUAUUGCACAGAACCAUACGAUUACACUAAUUUUGAUGAGGAAUUUAAAGAUUAUGAGCCCCGUCCGUUUGACCCGCAGUUUGGUACCAUAGGUUGGUACGAUCUUCGUUCGAGAAGGAAGAGGGAUGUUCCAGACACAGAAAAUCGUCAAACCAUUUACUACAAAGUCUGUUUCUGCUUAGUAUUAAUUAAUGCAGUUAACAUUUUCAGAUCGACAUGAUUGCAGAAUGGAGUCAAUAAAACAAAUUCCAUCUGAUAUUCAACAUAAAUUUUAAGUUUAGAAUAACAAGCUCACAAGAGCUUGGUUUUAGAUAUCACUUGGGACCACAGACUAACAGACAAAGGAACAAAGCAAAACGACUCUGCGAUUUGAUGUAGAAACUCCUGACUCCGAAGCCUGCAGCCGCCCUCCAAUUCUCAAGUCAGAAGUGUGUCAAUGAUGGUGCAGAUCCAACAACACUGGAAACGAUCUUGAGUCUAGACCAAAGCAGCCCCUUGAUUGGCACCGUAUCCAUUCUCUCCACAACCAACUCCAAGACACAAUAAUGUGUCCAUAUACAAGAUGCACUGCCACAUUUUUUUCCAACUAUUCUUACACCCGCCUUUCCAGACUUAGAAAACUCAUCUUCAAGGUCAAGGACAUCAGACAUGGUAGCACUAAUCCCAGUAAAAAUCACCUCCAAGCUACUCUCAAACUUAUUUGGAAAUGAAUGAUUGUUCCUGAGUCAAUAUUAGUAAUCUCUUUUGGAACAGCAUUGUGGGUCUGUGUACAGCAACAUGAAGCUGUUCAAGAAGUCAAUUUGUGCUGGACAAUCAGCAACAGCUAUGUCUCAUUAAAGAAUAAAUAAAUCGGAAAGAAAUCCAUCUGAGAGUCACAAGCAAAUGGGUAACUUUUUUUUGUUCACUCUGCAGCUCGUGGGCUAUUACCAAUUUUGACAAUGACAAAUGAAGCUUUUGUUUGGUUUGCUAUUGAUAGCAGCUGUCCACAAAAUAAAAACAAUUGGCAUCAGAGAUAAUGGGAACUGCAGAUGCUGGAGAAUCCAAGAUUACAAAGUGUGGAGCUGGGUGAACACAGCAGGCCAAGCAGUAUCUCAGGAGCACAAAAGCUGACGUUUCGGGCCUAGACCCUUCAUCAGAAAAGAGGGAGGAGGAGAGGGCUCUGAAAGAAAUAGGGAGAGGGGAAGGCAGAUUGAAGAUGGAUAGAGGGGAAGAUAGGUGCAGAGGAGACAGACAAGCAAUAAGGAAGGAGAGGAUCAAAUAUGAAGGUAAGCUAGCUAGUCAUAUCAGAAAUCAUAGUAACGGCUUCUUUCAAUACAUAAGAAACAAACGUGAGGCAAAGGUAGACACUGGGCCACUCCAAAUUGAUGCUGGAAGGCAAGUGGUGGGAGAUAAGGAAGUAGCUGAAGAACUUAAUAAGUACUUUGCGUCAGUCUUCACAGUGGAAGACAUGAGUAAUAUGCCAACAAUUAGGGAGAGCCAGGGGGCAGAGCUGAGGAUGGUAGGAAUUACAAAAGAGCAAGUGCUAAAAGAGCUAAAAGGUCUAAAAAUUGAUAAAUCUCCUGGCCCCAAUGGGCUAUAUCCUAGAGUUCUGAGGAAGGUGGCUGAGGAAAUAGCAGAGGCUUUGGCUAUGAUCUUUCAAAAGUCACUGUAGUUUUUUUUUGAGUGCGAGCAGCAGCGGAGGCAAGACGGACCCGGAAGACUGCAGCUAAGGUAAAGCAGUUUAUUUUUAAAAUUACUUACCGGUAGCGGGCAGUGGUGUUUUUUCCUCUUUCAGAGAAGGAGCGGGAGCAGCGGAGGAAGUGACGAGGACCAGAGGGGCAGCCCGGAAGGAAAGCAGUGAGUAUAAAUACUCACCCUUCGACGCCAACGGCCAUUUUGAGUGCGAGCAGCAGCGGAGUGGUGUUUUUUCCUCUUUCAGAGAAGGAGUGGGAGCAGCAGAGGAAGUGACGAGGACCAGAGGGGCAGCCGGGAAGGAAAGCAGUGACCAUAUAUAUCAGCCUUCGACGCCAACGGCCAUUUUGAGUGCGAGCAGCAGCGGAGGCAAGACGGACCCGGAAGACUGCAGCUAAGAUGCGGAUAAAGUUCUCCAAGCUGACAGAAAUUGAAAGCACUCGCAUCCUGUGACGAUGGGGUAGGAGUGGAAGAAUCAGAGUGUUUCUUUGAAAAUUGGCUUGAUGUGUCUGUCCAAGGGUCAUCUGGAGGAAAAAAUACAAGUAUAUCUUCAAACAAGUAGCUGAACCCACAGAUUUAUGUGACCAACGAAGCCUGAGCCUUUUGCUUCACGAUGCAGUCCAGAUCCCUCGGCAGCUGGGUGAGGUAGCUUCAUUUGGAGGCAGCACCAUUGAACCAAGUGUCCGCAGUUGCUCCCAACAUGCACUCAGACAUGAACUAAUGGAUAAGGAGGAGACAAUCAUAACUGCUUUGGAUUCAGCCCAUAGAAGGGCCAGAGGAGCCGCGCUGACACCUUCAUGUUUAAACAGAGGACACUUUUCUGCGUGCCACUAGAUGUAUAUCAGCCAUACCAAAAUGCUGCCUUUGCCUGAGACAGGGAAGAUCAACUGACUUUGGGGAAAUGGAGAAUCAUUCAUGAAUCCAGUUACUUUCUGAUCUGACAGCUUUGUGGCAUCUGAAUGGAUAACAAUUUGAUCUGGUAAUCUCAAUUGAUAGAGUGCAAAUGUGUAGUGAUGCAUUUUGGGAGCUCUGGUAAGUGAAAGAUGUUCACAAUGACUAGUAGAUCCCUAGAGAGCACUGAGAAACAAAGGGACCUUGAUGUCCAAAAGCAAGAGUUCAUGCCCUCUGCUUCUGGCCUUUCAGGCAAAGUUGGAUCCAACACUCCACUGAGUCUUAGAUCCCAUGAGCUCUUGUUUUGUUGACCAGUCUGCUAUCACUGACCUUAUCAAAAACAUAUAGACCACAUCAGAUGAAUUUCCCUCUUCAACACUUCUGAUAUCUCCUCAAUAAAAAUUAGAUAAAAUUUGCAAACCAUGGCAUUACCUCAACAAAGCCAUGCUGACUAUCCCCGAACAUUCCAUGUUUCUCCAAGUGCAGCGACAUUUUGUCCCUUAAAAUUCUUUCUGAUAACUUCCCUACCACCAAGGUUAGACUGGCUUGUAACUUCUGGAUCUGUCCUUUCUUCUUUUAUAUAAAAGUAUGAGCGGUCCUCUGGCACCUUAGCUGUGGCCAGAAAUGACUUGAAAAAUCUUUGCCAGGACCUUUUGAUAUCUCCUCCCCUGCUUCAUAAAGUCAUGCAGUAUAGAAACAGGCUCACUUGAUCAACAUCAAUGCCAACUAACAAACAUCAAACUACUGAUCCCAUUUACUUGCACUGAGUCAUUACCUACCAUACCCUGGCCCUUUAAAUGCUCAUCUGUUGCUUCUUUAAUAUUGCAAGCGUAUCUGCCUUCUCCACUUUGUCAGGCAGCAUAUUACAUGUUUGUAUCACUUUUGGUGAAAACACUUGCCUCAGAUCCCCUCUAAAUAGCUGACAGUUUACCUGAAAUCUAUGCCCCCUGACUUAAACUCGUCUACUGGUUCUCACAAUCAAUCUAUGCCUCUCAUAAUUUUGUAUACGUCGAUCAGAUUUCCCCUCAGCCUCCUCUGCUGCAUGGAAAACGCAAUUAGCCUACCAGUUUCUCCUCAUAAAACUUGCAUUCAAUCACAAAACAACACCCUGAAACAUAUACUAUCAACCAACCUGGCCAACAUCUCUGUCUCCGGCUUGCUACAGUGUUCCAGUGAAGCCCAGCACAAGCAGACAGAACAACACCUCAUUUUCUACUUGGGGACCUGACAGCCCUCCAGACUUAACAUUGAGUUCUGCAAUUUUAGGGCCUAAACUCUCCCAUAUCCCAGCGCCCCCACCCCACACACCAGGCUUUGUUACCACGCAGCCUGCCACCACACACUCCCUGUUGUUAGUGACUAACAGUCCCCAUUGACGACUUCCCAGCCUGAUCGUUAGCAACUCCUUUAUCUGUCCACCUGUCUUUCUCUCUCUUUGGGCUCUAUCCUAUUGUUUACUCCCUCCCCCACCCUCCUCCCUAUUUUCGGCAUAGAAACUGAUGUUUUCCCAGCCACCAUCAGUUCUGAGGAAGGGUCACUGGACUGGAAAUGUAAACUCUGUUUUUUCCUCCAACAUAUGUUGCCACACCUGCUGAGCUUUUCCAGCAACUUUGUUUUUGCUCGUCAUUUACAGCAUCCGCAGUUCUUGUGGUUUUUAUCACUAAACCUGUCAGACUCAUCAAUGCUCUCUAAUGCUCCAACUUGUUGCUCAAAUUGCUCCAAUAAGAGGCACCUGCUGUACACAUGGUCAUGCAGACCAGCAGGAGCACUCAGCAUUUGACAUGUAGCGUAGGAUGCACCAAUCAUGGGUCAGAUCUUAAUUCCAGGCAUACCUUAACUCAACAGAACACGGAUCUUUGCUUUUAAUUUACUCAUUCUCCUGCUUAAUUGUAGGGGACAAAAACCGGUGUUCACUCUCAGGUCUCUGCUGGUAUGCCUGCUUUUCAGGGAGAGCCUUAUCUCACCCACUCCUCUCAAUAACAUUCUCUGACUGUCACUGGGCCAACCCUCUGCUCUCAGUAACACUGUCUGCCCGUCACAGGGCCCUCACCCCCUCCUCUAAGUAAUACUGCCCGUCACAGGGCCCU